UACGUAGGGGGCUAGCGUUGUCCGGAAUCAUUGGGCGUAAAGAGCGCGUAGGCGGCUAGAUAAGUCCGGUGUGAAAGUCACAGGCUCAACCUGUGAAUGCCGCUGGAAACUGUCUGGCUAGAGUCCGGAAGGGGCGAGUGGAAUUCCUGGUGUAGCGGUGAAAUGCGCAGAUAUCGGGAAGAACACCCGUGGCGAAGGCGGCUCUCUGGGACGGUACUGACGCUGAGACGCGAAAGCGUGGGGAGCGAACAGG
rnacentral:rRNA from 1 species